rnacentral:rRNA from 9 species
GCAUAUCAAUAAGCGGAGGAAAAGAAACCAACAGGGAUUGCUCUAGUAACGGCGAGUGAAGCAGCAAUAGCUCAAAUUUGAAAUCUGGCGUCUUCGACGUCCGAGUUGUAAUUUGUAGAGGAUGCUUCUGAGUAACCACCGACCUAAGUUCCUUGGAACAGGACGUCAUAGAGGGUGAGAAUCCCGUAUGCGGUCGGAAAGGUGCUCUAUACGUAGCUCCUUCGACGAGUCGAGUUGUUUGGGAAUGCAGCUCUAAAUGGGAGGUAAAUUUCUUCUAAAGCUAAAUAUUGGCCAGAGACCGAUAGCGCACAAGUAGAGUGAUCGAAAGAUGAAAAGCACUUUGGAAAGAGAGUUAAAAAGCACGUGAAAUUGUUAAAAGGGAAGGGAUUGCAACCAGACUUGCUCGCGGUGUUCCGCCGGUCUUCUGACCGGUCUACUCGCCGCGUUGCAGGCCAGCAUCGUCUGGUGCCGCUGGAUAAGACUUGAGGAAUGUAGCUCCCUCGGGAGUGUUAUAGCCUCUUGUGAUGCAGCGAGCGCCGGGCGAGGUCCGCGCUUCGGCUAGGAUGCUGGCGUAAUGGUCGUAAUCCGCCCGUCUUGAAACACGGACC